GUAGGUGGCAAGCGUUGUCCGGAAUUAUUGGGCGUAAAGCGCGCGCAGGUGGUUCUUUAAGUCUGAUGUGAAAGCCCCCGGCUCAACCGGGGAGGGCCAUUGGAAACUGGGGAACUUGAGUGCAGGAGAGGAAAGUGGAAUUCCACGUGUAGCGGUGAAAUGCGUAGAUAUGUGGAGGAACACCAGUGGCGAAGGCGACUUUCUGGCCUGUAACUGACACUGAGGCGCGAAAGCGUGGGGAGCAAACAGGGAUUAGAUACCCUGGUAGUCCGCGCCGUAAACGAUGAGUGCUAAGUGUUGGGGGGGUUUCCCGCCCCUCAGUGCUGCAGCUAACGCAUUAAGCACUCCGCCUGGGGAUACGGUCGCAAGACUG
rnacentral:rRNA from 1 species